rnacentral:rRNA from 1 species
UACGUAGGGACCAAGCGUUGUUCGGAUUUACUGGGCGUAAAGGGCGCGUAGGCGGCUUAACAAGUCACUUGUGAAAUCUCCGGGCUUAACUCGGAACGGCCAAGUGAAACUGUCAAGCUAGAGUGCAGAAGGGGCAAUCGGAAUUCUUGGUGUAGCGGUGAAAUGCGUAGAUAUCUGGAGGAACACCGGUGGCGAAGGCGGCAUCCUGGACCGGCAUUGACGCUGAGGCGCGAAAGCCAGGGGAGCAAACGGG